AUUGAACGCUGGCGGCAGGCCUAACACAUGCAAGUCGAACGAGUGGCGGACGGGUGAGUAAUGUCUGGGAAACUGCCUGAUGGAGGGGGAAAACUACGGGAAACGGUAGCUAAUACCGCAUAACAUCAGAUGUGCCCAGAUGGGAUUAGCUGGUAGGUGGGGUAACGGCUCACAUAGGCGACGAUCCCUAGCUGGUCUGAGAGGAUGACCAGCCACACUGGAACUGAGACACGGUCCAGACUCCUACGGGAGGCAGCAGUGGGGAAUAUUGCACAAUGGGCGCAAUCCUGAUGCAGCCAUGCCGCGUGUAUGAAGAAGGCCUUCGGGUUGUAAAGUACUUUCAGCGGGGAGGCGUUACCCGCAGAAGAAGCACCGGCUAACUCCGUGCCAGCAGCCGCGGUAAUUC
rnacentral:rRNA from 1 species